AUUCAGUGUUGUGUGAAAGGAUGUAAAUCGAAUUCACGCAAGAAAGACCCCGAAAUAUCUUUUCAUAGGUUACCAAAAAAUUUAAAAACCAGGGCAAAAUGGAUUGAAAAUAUUGGGCGACGUGAUUGGAAUCCUACACCAAAUACAUAUAUUUGUUCUUUACAUUUUGUGUUGUUUGUUUAGUGUUUGUCACUCAUCCGGGGCUGUGAGAAUGAUUUUUCGAAUAGUUUGAUAAAAGUAAAAUCAAGGGGUGGAUUGACAUAUCCCUCACGUUGUGUAUUAAAAAUUGUAAGAGACACAGAAAAAAUUAUUAAGCCACAAUUAAAGGCUGGAGCUAAGGUUGAAAAUUACUAUACAUAUAUUUAUAAAUUUUUAAUAGAUCAUUUUGAAUAUGCGAAUGUUUUAGUAUCUAGUGAUUUAGAGCACGAUUGUACACACAAACUGCUUUUAAUUAAAGCAAUAAUAAAUAAAUAUAUUGAUAUAAGAUUUAAAUAUUUCGGGAAGAAAAGUACAGAAAGAGUGUCAUGUAGAAAUUACUUGACAAAGAUGAUUUUGUUUAAAAUGAAUAAUUAUAAAUAAACGUUUAUUUUGUCUUA